UACGAAGGGGGGCUAGCGUUGCUCGGAAUCACUGGGCGUAAAGCGCGCGUAGGCGGCUUUGCAAGUCGGGUGUGAAAUCCCCAGGCUUAACCUGGGAACUGCAUUCGAGACUGCAUUGCUAGAGUAUGGGGAGAGGGAAGUGGAAUUUCAGGUGUAGCGGUGAAAUGCGCAGAUAUCGGGAAGAACACCCCAUGGCGAAGGCAGCUCUCUGGGGACGGUACUGACGCUGAGG
rnacentral:rRNA from 1 species